AGCAGCCGCGGUAAUUCCAGCUCCAAUAGCGUAUAUUAAAGUUGUUGCAGUUAAAAAGCUCGUAGUUGAACUUCGGGGUUUACUCAUUGGUCAGGCUUAAUUGUCUGUACUGGUGAGAUAAAUCUCUACCUUCUGAGGAACUUUCAUGCCAUUUAUUUGGUGUGAUUGGAAAUCAGGACUAUUACUUUGAAAAAAUUAGAGUGUUUAAAGCAGGCUAACGUCUGAAUAUAUUAGCAUGGAAUAAUGAAAUAGGACGGCUUGGUUCUAUUUCGUUGGUUUCUAGGAUCACCGUAAUGAUUAAUAGGGAUAGUUGGGGGCAUUGGUAUUCAAUUGUCAGAGGUGAAAUUCUUGGAUUUAUUGAAGACUAACUACUGCGAAAGCAUUUGCCAAGGAUGUUUUCAUUAAUCAAGAACGAAAGUUAGGGGAUCGAAGACGAUCAGAUACCGUCGUAGUCUUAACCAUAAACUAUGCCGACUAGGGAUCGGACGACGUUAAUUUUAUAAUGACGCGUUCGGCACCU
rnacentral:rRNA from 1 species